UACGAAGGGGGCUAGCGUUGCUCGGAAUCACUGGGCGUAAAGCGCACGUAGGCGGAUUGCUAAGUCAGGGGUGAAAUCCCGGGGCUCAACCCCGGAACUGCCUUUGAUACUGGGUAUCUCGAGUCCGGAAGAGGUGAGUGGAAUUCCGAGUGUAGAGGUGAAAUUCGUAGAUAUUCGGAGGAACACCAGUGGCGAAGGCGGCUCACUGGUCCGGUACUGACGCUGAGGUGCGAAAGCGUGGGGAGCAAACAGG
rnacentral:rRNA from 1 species